rnacentral:piRNA from 1 species
UGACCUGGGACAGGGUACGCUCUAAGGU